UUAGUUUGACUCAAUGAUCAAAAAUCCAUAUUAAUAAUAUUUUAUUAACCGUCAUUGAUACAAAGAAAUAUAUCUUAAGAUGUGUUCAAUUUGGACAAGGAUCUUAAAGAAUACAUCCUCACCGUAAUAAAGUAUAUAAGAAAGUUUAUGUAGGGUUACAAGCAAUCUACAUACAAGAUUUUGAAAAGCUUUCGUGCAUGAAUCUCCAAGCUUAAAUUUUUAAAGGAAACAACAUUUGAUUCCACUAGGCAGUUCCUCGGUUGCUGCGCCGCCGGCUUCCAUGGCUUCUGACUUCAUUUCCAUCAUGUAAUCAAGCGGAAAACACGAGAACGAUCCUGGCUUUGCUGAAUGAACAAAUGCACGGUGCUGAUCGAGUCAGAUUCAGAACGCCGAUGAGGAGAUGAAGUCUGAAGGAACGGCUAGGAUUGAGGAGCAAGGGCUGCCGUGGAACCACUUGGAGUUUCAGAUCAUCAAACACGAUUAACGUAAGCGACAGUGAAGACGAAGACCAACACGAAGAACACAACAUGGGUCAGGUUCGUCCCGGCGGUGGAGAGGCAUAACCGGAUGACAGAGGGAAGUAACAAUGAGGUGGGUCCCGCUGAUAACGAGGAUGGGAAUGGCGCCAGUCCAAGAACGGUGACAGCACAGGGGACGCCUGUCGUUGAUGAGACUGUUAGCGGAAUCGGACGGCUGUGAUGGGGAUGUGGGAAAUGAUAUGAUGUGUUGCGUGUGUAUGGGAAGAAAGAAAGUUGCAGCGUUUAUCUUACGUGGGCACACUUUGUAGGGUGUGUUUGAGGGAAUUGUGGUUAAAUCGAGGGUCUUGUCCCCUCUGCAACCGUCCGAUCCCCGAUAUUCUCGAUAUUUUCUGAUGAAAAGACCACAAUCAUUCAUCACUGAUGCUGAUCAGACGGUGAUGAAGCGUUCAUUGUUAUCGAUUGUGUAUAAGUGUUCAUUGAUUUUUUUAUUUAUUAAUAGGAUAAAUCUCAAUAAUUAAAUCAA